UCUUAAAUAUCAAAGGUGAGCCAGUACAGGAUGGACCCGCGUCUGAUUAGCUAGUUGGUAAGGUAACGGCUUACCAAGGCGACGAUCAGUAGCCGACCUGAGCGGGUGAUCGGCCACAUUGGAACUGGGACACGGUCCAAACUCCUACGGGAGGCAGCAGUGGGGAAUAUUGCACAAUGGGCGAAAGCCUGAUGCAGCAACGCCGCGUGAGUGAUGAAGGCCUUCGGGUC
rnacentral:rRNA from 1 species